GACGGGGGACGGCCCGAGUGAGGCGUCCUCCGAAGGCUGCGGGCCCGAAGCCAGAACUCCUUCCUCUCCGAAGACCUCGGGGGUGGGGCUCGCGCUUCCGCAGCGGGCCUAGAGCGAGAGGCAGGCGGCAGGGAGAGGCUGUCGAUGCUGAGGCACGAGAGAAUUUGCUCCUGCUCCUCCAGAGAAAAUGGCUGGGACAGGCUGUUGAGGAAUAAUUCUGCAGGGAAAAGUGGAAGAUGGCUGUGAAAGACUGGGAGGAGGCUGGCUGUGUUUUCAGGGGUUCUUCCUGCACAGUCGGUAGAAGCUGAGCUGCUGGGGAAGGGGCUGGAAGAAAGCCCACACCGCAGGUAUCAGUAGCAAAUUCAAAAACUACAGAAUCAGCUCCAGAGGACUUUGUUAACAAGAAAGAGAAGAUUGAAAACAGCCCUGGGGCUACACCAACUCAAGAGCUCCCAGGCAAAGUGGCAUCCUGGACCCACCAUCUCUCCUACCCCAUCCUCAGUCGGUACUUCCCCAGGCACCGUUUGUUCUGGCAUGGGGCUAGUUCAGCCCUGGGACCACCCUCAUCCUUAUAACUACCAGCUGUCUUUGGUGAGAGAUGAGGUCUCAUCAUGUUGCCCAGGCUGGACUCCAACUCCUGGGCUCAAGCGAUCCUUCCACCUCAAUCUUCUGAGUGGCUGGGACUACAGAUGUGCGCCACCAUACCUGGCUAUUGAUCAAUUUUUAGUUUACCAAACAGGCAUUAUGUUCUGGGUCCCAUUCUGUGUCGGGUUCUCUUUUCACUCGGC
rnacentral:lncRNA from 1 species